rnacentral:lncRNA from 1 species
UGUUUGUCACGAGAUGCACAGCAGUGACCGUAGGAAUUCAUUAAAUACAUAUAGGAUGAAUGAAUGAGAUACAAAUAAUAACCUCGUAGCUGGAAAUCAGAGGCUAGAAAGGGUGAAUGCGAGAGCGAGGCUGUGGGGGCCGCAGGACAGGUGUCUGAGACCCCAGGGUCCGCCGCCCCCUCCUCACACACACCCAUCCCUUCCCUGUUCUCUCCGGAGGAGGAUUCCGGCCUCCGUCUGCAUCCGCCUGCGGGGUCUCUGUUCUCAUUGCUGUUCGUGCCUCAAGAAGCAAACAUGGCACGUUCCUGAGUCACGAUACGACACACACACGUCAGUUAGUCACCCAGGAGGCUCGGUUCAUCAAGAGAUUUGGAGGCAGUUGUUGAAGCACGUGUGGACGACUCACCAGGCCCUUGUCGGCGCAUCGGCAGACUGGAAACCCUGCUCGCCUUUUCCACGUGGACGAGUGUCCUCACGCCGGGGCCUGGCCAGGGGCUCGCUCCCCAUGUCUGAGGGCGCCGAGUCCCCGCUGUGGCCGCUGGCUCAGGGCCCAGCUGGGGUCCGACGGAGGGGGCGGCAGAGCAGGGCUGCAGGCAGGAGUGCUUCCUGGUGGCGAUGGUGAGGCGGCCUCCUGAGGACGCUGGUGAUGGGGCAGCGUCUCCCCUCCACUCUCCUCUCGUGCCUUCAUCGAACCAACAGCCAGCCCGAUGGGAACUCACUUUGCUCGCCACCGGACCCAAGGAGAGCAGUCCAGGGCUGGUGUGGCCACCGAGGUGCCCUGAGCAUCUGCCACGGCGUGUGGCCUGGGCAUCCCAUGCUCCUCUGUGCUACAAUAGGGCUGCUCCACCUCUCCCAUCACAGCUGCGUUCCUGGCAAGACAACAGUGAGGCCGAGUCCACCCCUUAAAGGAACCUGCCACCUAGGAUUCCCGCUCCUCUGCCCCCAUCGGGUUGGUGGGAACCAUUCAUUUAGGUGGAAAAUCAAGAGUGUCGUGCUCCGCCCAGGGCUCCGUGUCCGCCGCCGGGUUUUCCAGGAUCUAAAGUUGAAGCAGUGGCCAGCCUUUCAAAGACAAGGACCUAUGUGGCUUCAUCCACGAUCUCACUACCACCAAAAACAUCUUGAGGAAAUCAUCACAAAAGGAAACAGGGGCAGUCCAAGUCAGACAUUAUUUGUCCCAAGGAGGAUGUGAAAACUCAGUAGAGAUUUAAGAUAAAGGCUUCACUGCAAAUCUUCACUGCACCACCAGAGCUCAGAGAGAAGCGUACACACGAC